UCAGUAACACGUAGUCAACAUGCCCAGAGGACGUGGAUAACCUCGGGAAACUGAGUCUAAACCGCGAUAAGUGAGGAUUUCUGGAAUGGUUCCUGACUAAAAUCUAUAUGGCCUCUGGAUUGGACUGCGGCCGAUCAGGCUGUUCGGUGAGGUAAUGGCCCACCAAACCUGUAACCGGUACGGGCUCUGAGAGGAGGAGCCCGGAGAUGGGCACUGAGACAAGGGCCCAGGCCCUAUGGGGCGCAGCAGGCGCGAAACCUCUGCAAUAGGCGAAAGCCUGACAGGGUUACUCUGAGCUGACUUUCGCUAAGAAAGUCUUUUGGCACCUCUAAAAAGGGUGCAGAAUAAGGGGUGGGCAAGUCUGUGCCAGCAGCCG
rnacentral:rRNA from 1 species